UUUUGGUUCAGUGUGUGGAAGUAAAUGGCUGCUUUUAAAGUUCACAGCUCUCUGUGUGUCAAGUGAUUUCUUCCUAAAACUACUGCCCCCAAGGAUACAACAAAGUGGCGACGAGGAUGGGAUUUCUGUGCUGUCAAGCUUGAAUGAGAUUUACUUUGGGAGCUAAGCUUCAGAAGAAUCCAUUUCAAAAGUUCACUGGAUUAGAAAAGAGAGCGGUAAAAAAACCAAGUUAUCUUUCACCUCUGACAAGAAAAGAACCAAGCAUUUGACACUUUGUAGAAGAUCCUGAGCAGACGGGUUGGUCAGCCCUCUUGUGGAAGAAGUUGGAAAGCAUAUAGUAAAUGAAGAAGGGUGCUACAGGAUGAGAAAGCAUGGUGUCAUGGUCAAAGAAGUUAAAUACUGCUCUGGAGAACUGGAUUCUAUCCCUGCGUCUGACAGAGUUCCUAUCUGAUGCUAGACAUCAAGAAUGGACUGAGAAUUGGAUCCUUCAUGUCACCUUCAUUCAGACAUCAUAUGAUCCAGGACAAAAACCUGUCAGAUACGUAUUCUCCUACUUCACAGCAUGCAGCCUGAGGUGGCAAAAAUUUAGCUGCAGGCUCUUAGAAGCAACGUUUGGUACUCCCUGGAGAGGACAUCACAAUCCUGAUACUCCCCACCCCAGUGACGUUCACAGAAGUCCCCAUCAAGCCAGAAAGUGGUCAUGGCUUUUUGGGUGUACUUCCGCCAAGAGUCCCAAGUCACUCUGAGGAAGCAUUUUCAGCUGGGUCUAACUAUGUGCAGCACCAUAACGAAUGGUGGAGUUAGACCCAAAGGAGAAAAGGAGUACAGCACCCUCAGGAAAUGUGUGAACUACAGUGUUUGUUGCUUUGGAUUUUACUGACUGUAGAGUUGCA